CGCGCCGUCCGCGGGAAUUUGAAGUGCCUGACUGGGUGGCCGGGAGACGGAGUCUCGGGGUCGCGUGCACCUGGGCGGCCAGGGAGGCUCCAGUGCCCGGGAGAAAGGCAAGAAAACUGAGGCACAGAGAGAUUGUCACACAGCCAGUAAGGUUUCUUUCAAAAUGAAGAUUCACGCAGUGAUUGUAACUGUCUUGAUGAGCCAGGUUGUAGUUUACAAAGUUUUAUUCCAGAAGGAAAAAAGCCACUUCACCUAGAAAUUUUGCAAACAAAUCAACUUUUACUCUGUGAGUAAUCCAGGGCCUAUCAAGACUACAUUUUAGUUGACUGCAAGGCCUCUGAGGCACGGGAAUUCACAGCUGAGUUCUUGGAGAAGGUCCUUGAGCCAUCUGGAUGGCGGACAGUCUGGCACAUGAUGUGCUCAAGGUGCUGCUUGAGGCCACAGAUGUGGACAUUUCAGCCUUGAAGGCAGUGGUGCAGCUUGCUGAGCCAUACCUCUGUGAAUCUUGAGCGAGUACUUUCACCUUGGAGUGUGUGAAAGAGCUCCUCGAGCUGAAGGAACAUCAGUUGCCCCUGAAGGAGCUGGGUGGUGUUUGAUGAUUCUGGAGACAGCACUUGUAACUUGUAACUGAGCAUGUCAGCUAGGAAGGAGGUAUCUGGUCAGAGAAGGUGUUUUCUGAGGCUGCUUCCUGGAUCCCUAGGGUUUGUGUUCCUGCCAUUCAGCCUAUUUGGCAGUUAUUUCCACCUGUACAAACAGACCCUUUGUCCCUUACAUGAGAAAGAAAGCCCACACCUGGAUUCAUAUUAAUAGAUAUUCAUCCAUCUAAGACUUAUUGAGCACCUACUGUGUGCCAGGCACUGCUCUGGGAACUGCAGCCACGUGAACAAAGCCAUGUAAAUAAAGCUGGGACAGAACACAGUUCAGCUUUGCCUUCUACUGACAGGUGGCAAGUCCUCAGCUUUUUUGUUGUAUGAUAAAAUUUUAUUAUACGAAGGACAAAGGGAAGAUACUAGAAGCUUCCAGGAAGGAAAAAAAGAUGUGUCAUAUACAAAGGAUCAGGAAACAGAAUGGCUUGAAACAUUUCAGCAGCAAUACUGGAAGCUAGAAGACAGUGUUGGUUUAAUGCCUUGGAAGAUUGGAAGGACGAUACUUUUCAGCCUAGAAAUCUUCAUCCAGCCAAGCUAUCAAGCAAAUGUAAGGACUGAAUAAUGGCUUUCUUAGACAUUAAAGUCUCAUGUACUCUUUGAUAUCAAAUUAUUAGGAGAUGUGCUCCACCAAAAGUAGGGUUUAAAUCAGGGGAGUGUGAAAAACAGAGAAUGGAAAUGCAGGAUAUCUAACUGAAGAGAGUUGUGAAGGAAAUUCUCAGGUAGAGAAUGAAGGGAGACCCCAGGGCAACAGCUGUGCACCAGAUAUGAGGGUGAUUGGUCCAGACUGGAGCAAGUCGAAUGGUCUGGAGAGAUUCUUUCAAGAAGACUCACGUUGGAAAGCUGGCAGGAAGGAAAGUAAG
rnacentral:lncRNA from 1 species